UGUUGGUUUUCCUCUCCCGUGGAGCUCUAUCUACUAUGUCGCCUACGUAACUUGAGACGAUGGAGUCCUGCGGAGCCACGGCCGAGGCUUGCCUGCGUCAGGCUCUGAAGAGGCUUUACGUUUCCAAGAGGGGCGCGCUCCGAGGGUUCUGAGUGGCCCCGUGAGGAGCACUUGCCCCGCAGUCGCUCCCACUGCGGAAUCAAGCUCAUUUGACUUGCACAGAAUCCACAAACGACGGCCGACUCGACACCCUGCUAAGAGACGGGCGAGGGGCGGGUGUGUCGAGCGAGAUUCGAAACCGGUACUUACCACUUCGAGGCGUUGCCUGACUUUUCCUCUGCGGGUUUCAGGAAGACCCUCCGUGUCCCGGAGCAAGACGGGUUCGAUGACGAAAGGGGAACGACGGCUGAGAGGGCGUAUCCCCAGCCUUCGGAGGGAGGCGACGCCGCCACCAGAAACCGGAAGAACCAAAGCGGCUGACGACGCUGCUCGGGCCCUCGGCUUUGAGAGGCGCGGCCCGAGUCUCCGCCUCCGCGAGCCUACGACACCGCUCCAGAGCCACCCGGAGUCAGCGUAGGAGGCGUGGCCUUAAUGGCGCCUCCCUCAGCACUGUCGGGUCUGUGGAGAAGUCUGCGCCGGACGGGCUCGACCGACCCCGCCCACCGAAGCUGCCAGCCCAGCAAAGCUCAGUCAGCGGCUUCCGCGAUCGUCACAUCCGGUUGCCAAGGUGACUGGCUCGCUAAAGCGCCGCCCUCUGAGACAAUCCAAUCGCAAGUGACGUUUGCUGGCUCUUCUUCCGGAUCAAGUAACGAAUCACAGAAGAAUAUUCUCCAGAUACCUACGCAAAAUAAAAUAUUUCCGGGGUCAAUCGUAAA